AUUUGAUACUUACUUGAGCUUCUUUCGUAAUUGUCGGUACAUCUUCUUCUUCACUUUCUUCGCUGGAUUCCUCGUUUAACGCCGAUAUUUUGAUCAUCUUGAACAACUCCUUCGUAAUCUGUAGUUCUAUUUAAAAUAUCAACAAUUCAACCGGUUUUUUUCAACGUCGCCAUAUUACUGACUCCUGAGUGAGUCUAGUGUUGUGUACUGAGUUGAGUUGAGUUUGAGUGAGUUUCUGCCCCUGUGCCUGCAUUGAUAUCAAGCCCAAAAUAGUAUGAAUCAUGACAUCAGGCAUAAUACACACAUGCGCAUGAUCGGUAUCGGUAAGUCAGAAAUUUAAAAAUAGGUAGAGAAACUGCUUUUCUCUGAUUGGAUGACGCUUCAUAUCUAACCAGUGCUGCCCUCACAAUUUUAGGCAAAGGGAGGAAGUGGCGAGUGAGCAAGAAAGCACGAUAUCAACAUAACCACACACGUCUGGCAAUCCAUCUGUAACACUCGGCACGAUAUUCGACUUGCACUUGCUACAGAAGUAAUACAAUACUACUCUGUCUAUCAAGAUGACUCAAAUCCUCCGGAUAGUUCUGAUCUAUCACGGGUCUGACGAUCCAUCUGUAUUUAUCGGACACAAGAUGCAACGCGUUGAUACAUGCCAACAAACAUUGCGCUUGUCUCGACACUAUGGUGACAGAUUGUGACUCCUGACUCAAACGCAUGGCCUGUUCGUACAUAACGGAGGCAGCUAAAACAAGUCCACGCUCCUGGCUCUGCCCUCCACUAUUCUCUCAAGAUCUUCGUACAUAUCCACAUAGGGAAACGAGAUCAAGUCUAUGAGCUUUCGUCUCUCGAACAGGGUGACUACCAACUGUCUCAAACAGUCGACUUUACGAGCAGCGUCCGGAUUCGAAUUUAAACAGUUGUACGCUUUGGUGUGAUGACCCAAGUUCAAAUGUUGCGUAAAUACUAUGGAAUGAAGCGUUGGUUUCGAGUAAGGUGUCGGCUAAGAAUUCAUCGGUUAAAAUCCCUCCGGAUGCUCGAAGGAAGUGAUCGCAAGCUUUCUGCGCUUCUCCCAUUUCCAACAACGCAACCGCUAAUAUGAACUUCCUGGAUGCGCUGUUCCAUUCGCACCAUGUGUUCAAUAGUCGAACAUAUUCUUGUACAAGCAAAAAUUGGCAAGUGGUCAAGAGCCAUUCGGGAAAAAUGAAGUUUCCCGAUCUCGGCCAUCUGUUUCAAAUACAAUGUUUAUUAUUAAGGAAACGAACGAGAUUGUUUCGGUGAGACUGUGUAUAUAUAUAUCAAAAUAUAUACUAAUAUUGUAAAAAAGGAUACACCAAUUGUGCGAUUAACGUAACAUGUGUCAACAUGCCAUAAUGCCAUGGUAUUAAGGUGGUUGCAUCCAAAUUUGUGUGAGCUAUUAAAUUGUGAGCACAUUUUGCACCACUAUUUUGUAUAAAUAAUUCCAGCAACGAUAAAGAACGGUGUUGUUUGAAUCCUACGUUUCCCCUGGCAUCCGCGAGUUUUAAUAACCCUAGACGUUGAAUACUGGAAUCUCUGAAAGUAUUUGUGUUAUAUUUUCAUAUAAAUCUAAAUGAAGACACGAAAAACUAUUGACCUAUUUCACUUACAACAAUGAUUGCGUUGGUGCUGGCAUCGCCGUUGAAUCGCAAAUCCAUAGUACAACGUAGUAAGCUUGCGUUAAAGCUACUGUUCUCGGCACUAACGAUGAUUUGAUAGAGUGUAAUGAUCGCGAGUCGAAUAACUCUGGCCGUAAUAGUAUCAUUUGUUGCAAAAUCAGCAGAUUCCUGCAGAUCGAGAAUCUCAGUUGCGUUAUUUGAGUUACGCUUUUCGAUAUUGCCGAGAUUCCUAGUUGACUGCCGAAAAAAUGAUUUAUAUUCAGCAAUAUUUUGGACGCGUCGUGGCCUUCGUUGAAUUGUAGCUUAUGCGGCUGCCCGAGGUCAUAUGUUAAUGCUUCUAGUAACAUGGCUAUGGCACUGGACAGAUCCCGGACAUUCGAUAGUCUGUGACAACUAGGAUGAUCCAUAAUGAUGUUACUAAUAGGUUCUUCCGAUUCAAGCAACAGCUUCGACAAUAUAUCAUCGAUAAUAGUGUCAGGACUUUUCAAAUGAUACAAUUCCUUCUUUAUCAGGUUUUUUGUUUCUUCCGACAUUUGAUCUUCUAAUAAUACCAACACAGACAUCAAUAUAAUUAGAUCCUGGCAUAUAUCUUCGUUCUGUGAUAAAACAGGUGUUGUUCUGAAUCGAGACACGCAGCAAUUUUCAUUGCAGAACAUUAAAUAUUCCAAAGCUUCCGUCGGUCUUAAAAGCGAGAACGAUGAUUUUUUAAGUAAAAUUAUCCCGUAAACAUCGGGUAAUAAUAAUAGUCCCACAGGUCUGGCACUAUUGGCGUGAUAUUGUACGACACAAGAAUAAAAUCUUGACCAACAACGAUUUGCUAUUUCCAAAUAAUCUUGAUCCAUAAGUUCAAAAUCCAUCACCUCGGCUUUGAUUUCAUCUUCUACCGCGAUACAGACACGAUCUUUCAACUCGAUAGCAGAAAGAACGCUGUCGUCUGUACAUCUUCCGUAAACCUGUUUUUUAGAUCUUCUUCGAGCAUGAAUAUUCUGUUUUGAUCUUCUGUAAAUAUCCCAUGCCUUCGUGAUGUCAGACAAAGAAAACUGUCCAGGUUGAAAAAUAUAAUUAAUGUACGCCCGUCUUGGAUUAGUGUCAGGAUCGCUAACAACAUAUUCUCUAUCAGGAGUUUGUUCUAAAACUGUUGUUUCCCACUCAGAAUUAACGCGUGCACCAUUCAACGACAACUGUGCAUGCGUUACUUCGACGGUAUCCAUGUCGGUAGUUCUCCAAACUGCCCAUAAUCGUGUAGUUGUGAAUGAAAAAUCGACUAAAUGUUGCUGUGGACAUACGAAAGUGAGUUAUAAUAUGUUUUCAUAGAGUCAUCAUGUAUACUCACAUCUUGCGCGAAUCUUGUACAUAGCCUUGAAAACUUGAACACGCCAUUUUCCAAAACAGGUUUUAAAAUACUAAACUCGCAUCUAGUAGUAAACUUUAAAAAAGUU